UAUACAUUAGUUUAAAAAAAACUUUAUAUUUUCAUUAUGAAAUUGUACUUUUUCAAUAAAUACAUAUAUAU
rnacentral:tRNA from 1 species